rnacentral:rRNA from 1 species
UACAGAGGUCUCAAGCGUUGUUCGGAUUCAUUGGGCGUAAAGGGUGCGUAGGCGGCGCGGUAAGUCGGGUGUGAAAUCUUGGAGCUUAACUCCGAAACUGCAUUCGAUACUGGCGUGCUUGAGGACUGGAGAGGAGACUGGGAUUCAUGGUGUAGCAGUGAAAUGCGUAGAGAUCAUGAGGAAGACCAGUGGCGAAGGCGGGUCUCUGGACAGUUCCUGACACUGAGACACGAAGGCCAGGGGAGCAAACGGG